CAGCAAUUCCCCGCCUCUUGUGACAUCUCAAACUAAUUCACAUGCCUCACUUUCACGAUCAAGAAUCAGCCGAAGUAGAGAGCUAUUAGUCUUCACACUGGUCUGAGACAAAAAUUGCCUCACUCUGAACUACGGCACCAAAAAAAAGCAUUUGAGCCCCAGAGAGCUGACACUUUCAAGCCCUCAAGGCCUCUGGACUGAUAUG